rnacentral:misc_RNA from 1 species
UUAACUAUUAUAUAGUACUCAGACUUCAUAUACAAACAGAGUUUAGGUCCUCUGGCAGACGCGAGCCGGCCGGAGCCAGCAGCCCGAGGGCAGGCUUGCCAAAGCAACAAAGUGUAAUAAACAAAGGGUGGUAGGUUACCCAGGAGGCCUUGCGGCAACCUGGGUGACUACUGUAAUGAUCCUUCCGCAGGUUCACCUACGGAAA